ACUACCGGUGUGUUUGUACCUUAGCAUGUUUUUGGAAAAUUUCCUUGCUCAACACAACUUGAAGCCGAAGGGCAGUUAAGGCGGAGCUCUACUAUUGACCAUCACUGACGUCUUUUCAGGCGUCACUAUUCUUAUUGACGUCUGAAAGUAGCGUGGCAAAUCAAUAUUCAGUGGCAGCGCUACUAAUUUCUUCUGCUCUUCUCUUUGUAAAGUAACAUUUCAGAGAGGUUAGAUCAAUGCAGCCCUAACACUACCAAAGCCAUUUUUGCGACAAGGACAACGUCAUUAUUUUCCGAUAAGAUUCUGAUUGUAAAUGAACCAAAUGCGCCUGCGUGCUGGCAAAGUGUGUUGUUGACGCUUCAAUUGGCACCGAAGGCUUUAUGACAGACAAACCAUGUUCGUCUUCCUCCUACCGUUUCUUGUAGGCCCCGCUGCCGGCGGCAUCGCCAGUGGUCCUGUGAUUCCUGUGGAAAAUUAUUAUCCUAAUUGGACAGGUUUCUUAACGUUUCUGAAUACGGACCAAGUAAUUUGGCUGAAGGACAGCAACCAAUCUCUCGGUAAUAAUAUUGACUGUGUUCAAUGGAAGAAACAGACACUCCAGGGAAAUUCUUACACUUUCACCAGAUCCCAGCGUCAAGGAGCUACAACGCAAAGAAGUACUAAACAUGCGGUCCUGGUCAACGUAUCUGCCCAAGCAUACGGUAAACCAAGUGCAAAACCUGCGUUGGAUAUCCAGGACAAUACACAGAAGCGAGGU